rnacentral:lncRNA from 1 species
GUGAUGUACAGUCUUUUUCUGUCAGAUCCAGCAGAUCACAUUUAAAACCAGUUAUCAACUCUUAUCAUAUGAUAAUUUAUACUAUAAAUACUAUACUAUCAACUGAGCUCCACUGCCACCAACAUCACUGCCAGCAACACCAACACCAACACCAACACCACUGUCACCAACACCAACACUGCCACCAACACCACUACCACCAACACCAACACCACUGCCACCAACACCACUGCCACCAACACCAACACCAACACAACACCACUGCCACCAACACCAACACCACCAACACCAACACCACUGCCACCAACACCAACACCAACACCACUGCCACCCACACCAACACCAACACCAACACCACUGCCACCCACACCAACACCACUGCCACCAACACCAACACUACUGCCACCAACACUACCACCAACACCAACACCAACACCAACACUACUGCCCCCAACACCAACACCAACACCACUGCCACCAACACCAACAUCACUGCCACCAACACCAACACUACUGCCACCCACACAAACACCAACACCAACACCACUGCCACCAACACUAACACCAACACCAACACCAACACCAACACCACUGUCACCAAACUACUGUCACCAACACCAACACCAACACCAACACCAACACCACUGCCACCAACACCAACACCAACACCACUGCCACCAACAACAACACCAACACCACUGCCACCAACACCAACACUACUGCCACCAACACCAACACCACUGCCACCAACACCAACACCAACACCACUGUCCCCAACACCAACACCAACACCACUGUCACCAACACCAACACCAACACUACUGUCACCAACACCAACACCAACACUACUGUCACCAACACCAACACCAACACCACUGGCACCCACACCAACACCCACAUCAACACCACUGCCACCAACACCAACACCAACACUAACACUACUGUCACCAACACCAACACCAACACCACUGCCAGCAACACCACUGCCACCAACACCAACACUACUGCCACCAACACCAACACCACUGCCACAAACACCA